UUGUUAGAAAUAUAUUGAUAAAACAGGAAAUGCCCGCUCCUAUCCUAUCUGAAAAUUAUUGGAAUACUGUAGUCGUUGAAAUUCCAGAGCAUAAGAAGAAGGAGUGAUCUGUUAUAAACAGAGUUCGCAAUCGUUUUUCACAGAGUUUGCUCAACCUCUGCCUGUGCCGUCGGAACGAAAGUCAUAUUGGGGGAGGGGGACUGCCCAUUGUAUUGCUCUAGCCAUCCCCGGUUCCCGAGUGUCUAUAUCAGGAAAGCGAAUGAAGGUUUUGCAAAAAAGAUUCACGAAAGCUUCAAACUCUCGAUCUAACUACCAAUUUAUGAAAAAAUUUCGGAAGAAAUUUUUUCGUUGGAAUGGCCCUUUGAUAAGUUUCAGGAAGCGGCUUCUGGGAGGGUGAGCCAUCGAUUUCGCUACAGCCCCGCUUACCCUGGACUCGAGCAUAUGUUGAGAUGUUGAGAGCUUCCCUCCUGAGCGUCUGCUAUUCAAAAAGGUGUAUUCGAAAUACAGUGAUUUGUGUUGCUACGUCACCGCCUACGGCGUUUCUUUAUCCAAACAUUUAGACUUACAAUUUCAAUAGAAUUAUUGUGGUUAAUGCUAUGUUAUAUGACCACAAAAUUUUUGAGAUUGCAAACAAGUUGAGUUUUUAUUAGCCUUUCCGCGUGCUAGUCGAGUUUCAAAGUUGAUUGGGUAGGGGAGCCUCACAUGGCUUAGCGAACGUGAAUUCGUCAGGCUAAUGUUUUUAAAACGUCAACAAGCCAUCUUCCUUGACCGUCUAUCAGCUAUUUUGACAAUUUCAUUUUAUCAAAGAGUCUAUUUUGGGCGGAGAUGGAUCUCAGGAAACAAAAGAUUGAGAUGAAUCGUUGCUGAUUACAGGUUGGUUGCAAGAGAAGCGUCUCAUGAACUGAUGCUCGCAAAGUUGCUCUACGAUAUUUAAUGCAGAGUAAUUGCUCGUCAUGACUAGCAAAAUGAAGAAAACAAAAAGUUGGAAGGAGUUUGUGAAAAAGAAAUUCACCAGCGAUGAAACAGACGGCAAGGACAAAGAAGAUGAGUUAUUGAACAACCUCAGUGAAAUAAAUUGGAAUGUGGACUCUGAGUUGGUGAUUAAGUUUUUGACUAUACCAACAGCAAAGAACUACACGGCCUUACGUCGGCAGCUGGAAAUUUGUGAUGCAGAAUGGAUGACAGAGUUUCUUGCUCACGAUGGCCUGGAAGUCAUGUUUUCUGCCCUUCGCCAAAUGAGUGAGCGCUCAUACAUCAAAUUUGUAGACGCCGUAUUGCAGUUAGAGUUGGUUCGUUGCAUCAAAGCUGUCAUGAAUUCAAAAAUUGGGAUGGAGUUUGUGUCUGAUAAUGGCGAAAUGGUGCACAAGUUGACUCUAGCUAUGGAUACAAAAAAUACCAUGAUGAAAAAGCAGAUAUUAGAGAUGCUGGCAUCAGUUUUAAUGUACAGUGAGCCUGGCUACACCCUCGUUCUCGAUUCUUUGGAUUUUUAUAGGGUUCAAAAAGGGCAACGAUUCCGGUUUAGUCUUAUCAUGAAUGAGCUGAAAGACUCGGAUCUUACACAGUACCAGACAACAUGUCUCUCUUUUGUCAAUGCUAUUCUUCUCACAACCCUUGACUUUGAUGAUAGAGUUCGCAUGAGAAAUGAAUUUAUUGGACUUGGGCUGUUGGAUAUUUUGACGAAGCUUCACCAAUCUGAGGUAGAUGAUGCUGAUCUGUUCGUGCAACUCGAUGUUUUUGAGGAGCAGAGAAUGCAGGAUGAAGAAGAACUGACUUGUGAGGGUGGUGUGGACCUCAACAAUCCAAUGCAAGUUUUCAAUGCCUUGUUUCUAGAGGUCGCUGAUAAGCCUCAUCUGACAAACCUGACCUGUAUAUUGCAAUCUUUGCUUGCUAUUGACAAUGAAAACCCAAUGAUCGAAAAUGUUUGGCAAACGCUGGAAGAUGUCACGCGCAAACUUGUAAUAACGACAGAGGAAAAGGAAUUAGAAAAAAUCAAAUCAGCUGAAGUUACACCGAAAUCAAACACGGUUGAGGUACAAACAGAGCAGAAAAGUAUGGAGACUCAAGCUCCAACGAAACCUGCUGUUAUUCAACGAAGUAUGAGUACAGUGUCAACACAAGUGGAUACAAAUGAACUAGGAGAGGAAAAAAAGAAGACAGUAGAUGAGCUGCAAAAGAUUACUGCACAUGCACAGCCGCCGCCACCCCCACCUCCACCUGUGCCUGGUAUGGGAGGAGAACCGCCUCCCCCUCCUCCGCCCCCUCCACCACUCCCUUUGAUGGGAGGAGCCCCUCCACCACCGCCACCACCGCCACCUCCAAUGAUGGGAGGUGGCCCACCACCACCACCUCCUUUGCCAAUGAUGGGAGGAGGCCCUCCACCACCACCACCACCACCUCCAAUGAUGGGAGGAGGCCCUCCACCACCGCCACCGCCUCCAAUGUUUGGAGGAGGCCCUCCACCACCUCCACCGCCUCCAAUGAUGGGAGGAGGCCCCCCACCACCGCCACCACCGAUGGGUGGUGCACCCCCUCCGCCACCACCAAUGGGUGGUGCACCCCCUCCGCCACCAUUGGGGGGUGGCCCCCCUCCACCGCCAAUGGGAUUUGCUGUAGCUCAUGCGCCAGUUUACUCAAAAGUCGCCCCACCAGUAGCCCCAAAAUCAAAAAUGAAAAAAUUGCAAUGGAAUAAGAUUCCACCGCCAAUGCUCCAAAGGUCUUCGAGUAUUUGGGAAAAAGUUGGCGAAAUAGAUGGUGUUCUUCCUAACUUCCAAAUCGGAGAGGAACUCUUUAAGCAGAAAGUGGCAGAAAAGAAAGCUAAAGCAGAAGAGAAAAAGGCUGUACCAAAAGAGAUUUCGCUACUCGAUCAGAAAAGAAGCUUGAACGUGAAUAUUUUUCUGAAGCAGUUCAAGCGGCCUACUGAGUAUAUCCUGAACUUGAUUAAAGAAGGAAACAACAAAGAAUUUGAGAUCGAUCGUUUGAAAUGUCUCAAGAAGAUGCUUCCGGAUAGCAGCGAGAUCGAAACAUUCAAAUCAUUUGAUGGUGACAAAAGCAAGCUCGGUGCAGCGGAGUUAUUUCUCAUGGGUCUCAUAGCAGUGAAAAGGUAUGAACUAAGAAUUGACUGUAUGAUAUUCAAAGAUGAAUUUGCUUCACACAAAGAGGCACUUUCACCACGGAUUAAAGUGUUGAAAAAGACGAUUACAGAUCUAUUGCAUUCUGAGCUUCUUCCAGAACUGUUGAAUCUAAUUCUUAAAGUUGGAAAUUUUCUCAAUUAUGGCUCUCAUGCUGGCAAUGCACAGGCCUUCAAAAUCAGUUCGUUGUUGAAGUUAACAGACACAAGAGCAAAUAAACCUCGGAUGAAUCUCAUGCAUUUUAUUGUCCAGGCUAUCGAAACAGAAAAGAAGGCUCUCUUGAAAUUCCCAGAAACUGUACCUGACAUUGAUCAAGCUUGCAAAGUGACGGUGGAUUAUCUGGAAGGCGAGGUUAAACUGCUACGAAACAGUGUUGCCAAGCUUCAGAAUGGCUUGAAGAAAGCGGAUCAAGAUAUACAGGACCAGUUUGAAUCAACAGUUGAGGAAGCUUUAAAAGACGUCGAAGCUUUCGAAGAGAGUCUGAAAGAAAUUCGAAAAUUGGAAACCAAGUUCGCCAAUUAUUUGUGUGAAGACGUAAAGAGGUUCAAGCUUGAAGAGGUGUUCUUGGUAUUCAAACAAUUUUGUGAUAAUAUUAAUACAGCAAAGAAGGAAAAUGAGCAAUUUAGAAUUCAGGAAGCAAAAAAAAUUGAAAGGGAACGCAAAAAGAAAGAAAUGGAGGGAAAACAAAAUGGCCCUGGCGGGAAAGUCAAGUCGAAGAAACCAAAGCAACUUGAAGUGGAGGAGACGUGUAUUGUUGAUAAACUGAUGGAUGAAAUAAGAAAUGGUUUCCCAUUAAAGAAACGUAAAGUAUCAAAACCUGCUUCACCUGUGGUUACCCUCACAGAGCAAAGUAGAAAGUUAUCACGUGAAAGAGCCAAGAUGUCAAUUCGACGUGCAAGUUUAUUCGCUAGCUCUUUGUCCACUCUGCGAAAAUCAGACAGCUCUGUUGAAUCAAUUAACGAAAACUUUAAGACCAGAAGCAGAUCUGCGAGUGCAAAUUCAGACAUGCAUGCGCAAAAAGGUACACUCAAUGAAGAUAUGAGAUCUUUAAACAGUGUUACUGAGGAGGCCACCGAGAAGGGUUCAAAUACAGCAUCAGCCACGAACAGCCCUAGAGAUGAGGCACCAGCGAAUGAGAAUACACCUAUAACUACAGAGGAGGAGAGUAGCGUUGUUAACACAAAGCAGAACAAUGCAUCAACCAAAGAAGUAAACGGAAUUGACGACGUGGCGAACAUUUUGCCCGUUUGCAAUGGCGAAACAGAUGAAAAUGAGGAAUUGCACAGAUCUAAGGGAUCAGUUGAAGUUGAGGAUAUCGAGAUUAAAGUUGAAAGUGAAGCCGUGUGCGAGAAUUCAUCCGAAAAGUUGCUUAGUAAAGAAGAAGAUUCUGAAAAUUUUGUAGACAUUGAAAAUACUGUUACCUCGGAUAAUGACCAAGUUAAAGAAGAUCUAGAAAAAGUGAAUUCCGCCUUGCAAGGAUUUGUAGGAAUACAGAAGUUACCUAACGGAAGCCAAAGCAGCAACGGAAGCCUCAAUACUUCAGCUGUAAGUGAAGUUAAGAAUUCGCCAGGUCUCAAUGGAUUACAAAUGCAUGAAUGUCCUGAGAACGAGGUCAGUACGGAAGAUGGCGUUCCAGAUGAAAAGGAGGUAAAUGGCACGGAAAAUAGCAGGCAACCAUCAAAAACUGAGGAGGUGAAGCAAAGGCUGCAGAGCAAAAUUGCGGAAAAGGACGGGGGUAAGAUAGAUUACGAUGAAAUAGUUUUUGAUACGACUGAGCAGCCUGAAAGCAAGGCUGUGUCCGUGUCACCGACUGACGAUAAUUCUGCAAAAUCUGUUGCCUCUAAGAAGAAAACCGGUAGCAAGCGAGUAAUGUGCUCUUGUUAUUCACGACAUAAGGGAGAGAGAAAGUCCGAUCGGUGCUCUCUUAUGUAAUAAUCGUAAUAAAGAUUACUCGUUAAUAAUUUCUAUCCCGGGGCAAAUUCUUUGGCAAGAGGCAUUAAGAAGUUCCCAGCAAGAUUAGGGCAAUUUUUCCAGCUAUAGGGUCGUUUCUGGCAAAAAGGCUUAAUCAUCAUUGUUGAGACCGUGCAGAAGCCAAGGAAAAAAAAUUUGGAAGGUAAUUUUCGUGUUUAUUUUAAUGGUUAUGCCCUAAGAAGACAAAAAAGUAUUUAUAUUCCCAUAAAUUAUCAUUUAAAGUGAGCGAUCUACGAAUGCGAAGUUCGGGAAAACGAAACCCUAAAUCAAAGAAUUUUGGUACCCAAGAAAUGAUAGAAAUAUUCGAUUGUAUACAAUAAUUCAUGUUUGAGGGGCUUUGUCAUUAUAUUUUUUUGUUACUUCUAGAUAAUAUUUUGAUUUCGCUAGCAUUUAUAUAUCUAUCAAAACAGGGUAAUGCAUAAUGCAUCGUAAAUAGCAUUAUUUAAAAAGUAGGUGCUCGUUCACUAUUAGAACGCUAAAUGUAUAAUUACGCAACGAAGAUAGAACAUGUUAAAAUCAGAUAAAACAAUGCAGAUAAACUUAGACAAAAUGGGCGUGCCACAAAAUAUACAUUCCUUAGUAUAAAGAUUGCACUGGAGUGGUCUUGCAAAAAAGUAUUGAAACGAAUCAACUGACAGUUUCCAGGUACAAUGAUACAUUAUGACAUUUGUUAAAAUUCUUGAGUGACUGGCUGGUGAAAUUGGCGAAGUGUUGACAGUGACUGGCGAAUUCAAAUAUGCUCCUGUCUAUAUAUUGUCUUAUACAUCAUCCCCACAAUAAGGUCUCAAGUCUAAGAUGCCUGUGAGAAGGCUUGUAAGAAACUUUUAUUCGAUGUUAUUUUGAGGCACUCCUUGUACUAUUAAAACCUGAACGUAUUAACGAUUUUGCUGUUUAAAAGAAGAAAUAAUGUAAAAUUUAUAACGAGGAGAAGGUUAUUGCGGAAAAUUUUUUCUUCUUUUCUUUCUUAUCUCACUUUGUGGAUAAAGCCUUUAUUGUAUUAUGACUUUACAAGAAGUUGACUCAAAAGCAUUGGUUUCUCUGUGAACUUUUCUCUCGUUUUGCCAGUGUUGCUUCAAGACAAUGCGAUACAGUUCGAUUAUCAGAUAGCUUUUUGAAGCUCAGAUCCUUGAUUUUGUCUCAAGAUUACAAAAACUUUUGAUAUUUAGAACUAAAUACUUUGAAUUAUAAUAUUUUUGGUCUGAUUGAAAAAUUUUUAUGGAGAAAACUAGACUUUUCGCGUUUACUUUAGAAGAAAUCUUACCAGCUUUUCAAAGCGAACCGAUUUACUGAUUACUGACAUUGCAUGUUUUUUAUGGAAAACAGCUACGGAAUCCUCGAUCUUCAGAUUAUUGUAAAACUGUGCUUCCAUCUAUAAAUUUUCGUCAGCGUGCAAUACAAACUUUACUACAUGCUAUGAAAACAAAACAGCCUUCGAAAAGUUUCAUAGAACUAUAUUGUACGAUGUUGAAUAAAAUCCAGACUAAGGAACUUCGAUGGUGUAAAGGUGGUAGCUGGAAUAUAGAUGCUUUUCAACCUCGAUUGGCUACAGAAACCUCGUGUUAGGAGGUUAGCUGGGCUCAGAGAUAAAUGACCUGCCAAAACAAAACAAUGAAUAAUUCCAGAUUAUUUCACAGUGACCAGAAUACUGGAUCUUAGCCUGAAAUGGGUUUGAAUACUGAUAAAAGAUGGCUCGGUGCCAAGCCAUAUUAAAAUAAUUUCUACAGUUGUUUCGAUAUUGUGACUGCUGAAAACUGGUCAAAGGAGGCUUUCCGCUCUUGCAUCGCAUCGUUUUUUCACUGGAAACUGCGUUAUUUCUUAAAUUGGUGAAGUUGAAAGUAGUCAAAGGGCUGCGCAACAGACGAAACGCUAGCUACUGCAACAACGACUGCAGAACAGUACUCAACAUCCGAUACCAUUGUGAAACUACAAGUUCAGCAACCGUAACUUGUAAGAAACCACCUUUGAAGAAUAGAAGGCACAUAACCUUCUACAUAUCUAACAAACUGGGCUGUUAGAUAUAAGUAAUUUUUUCAACAGAACAACAAACACAAUUUCAUGUUAAAAAUGAAACAUGGCAUACAUAAUUUAAUACCAUUCACAAAACGUUUUGAGGGGAUAACAAUAAAACUUUUUUUUUUCCAAAAGGGUAGGAUCUAUUGUUGACAUUAUCUUUGGUGUUAAACUGGCUGAUAAAUGAGAUCUAAACUCUGUUAUAGCUUUUGAUGUUUAGAGGCUGGCCUAAUUACCCAUGGAAGCUAGGUAAGAAAGUAAUGGUUACCUGAAUUUGAAGAGGAUUUGAUCAAGUGUGGAUAUAGGGCUCUCAAGGUACAGAGAAAAAAUGAAGGAAUUAUUAAGCAAAAGAGAAUCUGGUGGAUAUCUGAAGGAGGUAUAAGUGCAGUUAUGGCUGUAUGACACACAGGUAGACAGUGAGUUGAAGGUGAGCGGGAAAAUAAUUUCAUAAAAAUGUCUCCCAGAGCAACCCAGAAAUAUUUCACUCCCUAUUCCCUGUGCCCCUUCAUAACUACACAAAUCAUCAUAACUACAAUAAAAAUUGAUGUUACUUUUUAUAUUGAAUAGCAUAUUACCGGCUUAUAAAUAAGUUAUUUUUAGAACACGUAAUACCAAAACAAAUAUUUUCCAUUUUCCAGCUUGAUGCUAGGUGUGUUUUCCCUGCAAAGCUUAUCUCCUUUCUCAAAUCAAGCAAAAGGAAAAACGUUUUGAUAGGUUUUAUUUUUUUAGACAACAGAUAUUAUUUUUAUCUUAUGCCCUGAUCAUUAAGAAUUCCUUGCACAACUAACACAUGCGCCACAAUACAUGCACAGAUUUGGACUGUUCCAGAAUUCUUUGAUUGCUUUUAACUACAGCUAAAUAUCACUGUACAGCUUCAGCAAUUUGAAGGUAACAUAAUCAACAAAAUCUGCACCUCACAUUUAUUUUAUGAAUGUCUUAUCAAUUUUGUUAAAUUUUGAGUUGAAGUUUUUGAGAAGUUGCCUGUUAAUAUGGAAACAAUUAUGUUGAGAUAAAAUGUUGUUAAUUUUUUUAUAAUUUAGAUGGAAUUAUAUUUUGAUGUUUGUCAA